GCCAGUGAGGGGUAGAAUCCUUUCUGGUUUAAAAAUUAAUUUCUAAGUGUCUUGAUGUCUCAUUUUAAUUAAGGGGAUUAGAUACCCCCGUAAUGGUGUUUAAGUUUUGUUCCUUAGUAUAAACUAAAAGGAUUUGGCAGCCGAUGAGGUUCUUCCGGGGGAGCGUGUAUCGUAAAAGAUAGUCCACUUAAGAAUCAACCCCCUUUAGUUUAGUUAGUGUAUAUCCGGUUUAAGAUUUGUGGUUAAUGUCUAUGAGUGUAACUAUUCGUUUAAUCCAGGUCA
rnacentral:rRNA from 1 species